UGGAGUAUGUGGUUUAAUUCGAUGCAACGCGAAGAACCUUACCUGGUCUUGACAUCCCGGAGACCCUUAGGAAACUAGGGGUGCUUCCAUCUGGAAGAAUCUGGAGACAGGUGCUGCAUGGCUGUCGUCAGCUCGUGUCGUGAGAUGUUGGGUUAAGUCCCGCAACGAGCGCAACCCUUGCCUUUAGUUGCCAGCAGUUCGGCUGGGCACUCUAAAGGGACUGCCGGUGUUAAACCGGAGGAAGUGGGGAUGACGUCAAGUCCUCAUGGCCUUUAUGACCAGGGCUACACACGUACUACAAUGGCCGAUACAAAGGGCAGCGACACUGCGAGGUGAAGCCAAUCCCGUAAAAUCGGUCUCAGUCCGGAUUGGAGUCUGCAACUCGACUCCAUGAAGUUGGAAUCGCUAGUAAUCGUGGAUCAGCAUGCCACGGUGAAUACGUUCCCGGGCCUU
rnacentral:rRNA from 1 species